ACGCUGGCGGCAGGCCUAACACAUGCAAGUCGAGCGGAUGAAAGGAGCUUGCUCCUGGAUUCAGCGGCGGACGGGUGAGUAAUGCCUAGGAAUCUGCCUGGUAGUGGGGGACAACGUUUCGAAAGGAACGCUAAUACCGCAUACGUCCUACGGGAGAAAGCAGGGGACCUUCGGGCCUUGCGCUAUCAGAUGAGCCUAGGUCGGAUUAGCUAGUUGGUGAGGUAAUGGCUCACCAAGGCGACGAUCCGUAACUGGUCUGAGAGGAUGAUCAGUCACACUGGAACUGAGACACGGUCCAGACUCCUACGGGAGGCAGCAGUGGGGAAUAUUGGACAAUGGGCGAAAGCCUGAUCCAGCCAUGCCGCGUGUGUGAAGAAGGUCUUCGGAUUGUAAAGCACUUUAAGUUGGGAGGAAGGGUUGUAGAUUAAUACUCUGCAAUUU
rnacentral:rRNA from 1 species